rnacentral:rRNA from 1 species
AGAGUUUGAUCCUGGCUCAGAACGAACGCUGGCGGUAUGCUUAACACAUGCAAGUCGGACGCGAAAGUUUCUUCGGAAGCGAGUAGAGUGGCGCACGGGUGAGUAACACGUAGAUAACCUGCCCUUCAGUCCGGGACAACCUUCUGAAAAGGGGGCUAAUACUGGAUAAUACUUAUUAACGAGUGUUUUUAAGUUGAAAGAUUUAUUGCUGGGGGAUGGGUCUGCGCACCAUUAGCUGGUUGGUAGGGUAACGGCUUACCAAGGCUACGAUGGUUAGCGGGUCUGAGAGGAUGGUCCGCCACACUGGAACUGAGACACGGUCCAGACUCCUACGGGAGGCAGCAGUGGGGAAUUUUGCGCAAUGGGCGUAAGCCUGACGCAGCAAUACCGCGUGAGUGAAGAAGGCCUUUGGGUCGUAAAGCUCUUUUUUCAGGGAAGAUGAUGACGGUACCUGAAGAAUAAGCGCCGGCUAACUCCGUGCCAGCAGCCGCGGUAAUACGGAGGGCGCGAGCGUUGUUCGGAUUUACUGGGCGUAAAGGGCGCGUAGGCGGCAUAACAAGCUAAGGGUGAAAUCCCGGGGCUCAACUCCGGAACUGUUCUUAGAACUGUUAAGCUAGAGAUAGUUAGAGGCGGGUGGAAUUCCUGGUGUAGAGGUGAAAUUCGUAGAUAUCAGGAGGAACACCGGAGGCGAAGGCGGCCCGCUGGGACUAUUCUGACGCUGAGGCGCGAAAGCGUGGGGAGCGAACGGGAUUAGAUACCCCGGUAGUCCACGCCGUAAACGAUGAAUACCGGCUGUUUGGGAAAUCGACCUUCCAAGUGGCGCGGCUAACGCGUUGAGUAUUCCGCCUGGGGAUUACGGUCGCAAGACUAAAACUCAAAGGAAUUGACGGGGGCCCGCACAAGCGGUGGAGCAUGUGGUUUAAUUCGACGCAACGCGAAGAACCUUACCUGGGUUUGACAUCCCCUGCUUGUCACAGAGAUGUGAUUUUCUCUUCGGAGACAGGGUGACAGGUGCUGCAUGGCUGUCGUCAGCUCGUGUCGUGAGAUGUUGGGUUAAGUCCCGCAACGAGCGCAACCCUUGUCCUUAGUUGCCAGCACAUAGUGGUGGGAACUCUAAGGAGACUGCCGGUGUUAAGCCGGAGGAAGGUGGGGAUGACGUCAAGUCCUCAUGGCCUUUAUAUCCAGGGCUACACACGUGCUACAAUGGUGACUACAAAGAGUCGCGAAGCCGCGAGGUGGAGCUAAUCUCAAAAAAGUCAUCUCAGUUCGGAUUGCAAUCUGCAACUCGGUUGCAUGAAGUUGGAAUCGCUAGUAAUCGUAGAUCAGCGUGCUACGGUGAAUACGUUCCCGGGCCUUGUACACACCGCCCGUCACACCAUGGGAGUUGACAUUAGCAGAAUACAUUGAGCUAACUUUCGAGAGGCAGGUGUAGAAGCUAGUGUUGAUGACUGGGGUGAAGUCGUAACAAGGUA